rnacentral:rRNA from 1 species
CGUAUAAGGGCAUAUGGUGGAUGCCUUGGCAUCAAGUGGCGAUGAAGGACGUGGCGUAGCUGCGAUAAGCCUCGGGGAGGUGCCUAGCAACCUUUGAUCCGGGGAUUUCCGAAUGGGGAAACCCUCUGUGAUAAACUCACAGAACCGUGGCUCACUAUUGUUUAUCACUCAUACGAAAAUACGAAAACCUACGAAUUUACGAAAAACCAAAUUUCGUACAUUUGUAACAUUUCGUACUUUCGUAAGGGAGUGGCGAGCAGUGGCGAGUCACGGAGUAUACCCGCUGAAGUGAAACAUCUCAGUAAGCGGAGGAAAAUAAAAAAAUGUAGAAGCUGAUUAACGCGGAUUUUAAACUGUAGAGGCGGAUUCACGCGGAUUUAAUUCCGCGCCGUUCCGCUUCUAUAAUUAAUUGAAUCUGCGCAUAUCUGCUUCUAUGCAUUCCCUGAGUAGCGGCGAGCGAAACGGGAACAGCCCAAACCUUGUCAGUGUUUCGCACUGACCGCAGAAAAACGUGGAAAGAACGCAGAAUAACGCAGAAGAACCAAAAAUUCUGCGUGUGUCUGCGUAAAGUCUGCGUAAGUCCGCGGCCAACGCGGAGCGUUGGCAGGGGGUAGUAAGAUUAACAUGCUGUUAGCAAUAAUAAGGGAAAGUUAUCAAUCGAUUUAUUAGCAGAAUCCAUUGGAAAGUGGAGCCAAAGAGAGUGAUAGCCUCGUAUGCGAAAACAAAUCGACUUUCUAUUGUUAGUCUUGAGUACCUCGAGGCAAAAAAACUUUGAGGGAAUCUUCCGGUACUAUCCGGAAAGGCUAAAUACACUUGAUGACCGAUAGUGAACUAGUACCGCGAGGGAAAGGUGAAAAGUACCCCGGAAGGGGGAUGAAAUAGAACCUGAAACCAUAUGCUUACAAGGACGCGAAGCUUGUGCUUUGCACAAGGAAAUUCCAAACUCCAAAUUCUAAAUUCCAAACAAUAUUCAAGCUCUAAUUUCAAAAUUCCAAACGGAUUUCCCGUUUUGAAUUUGUUAUUUUGGUCAUUGUGAUUUGUUUGUGAUUUGGCGCUUGUGAUUUGUGAUUUUCUCGCGCAGAGCGCGAGUGACGCGGUGCCUAUUGAAGAAUGAGCCAACGAGUUAUUUUGCAUUGCGCGUCUAAGUCCCAUUAAACGGGAUGCAGGCACAGGGAAACCGAGUUUUAAUAGAGCGCAUCGUUCGCUCCUCACUGCGUUCGUCGCUCACUUUACCAAUUACGAAUACUGACACGAAUUAAGCUAAUGGCUAAUAAUGUUAUUCGCCAUUCGCCUAAUUAGUUUUCAUUUGUAAUUAGUAGGCGAAGCGACGAGCAUAGCGAGGAGUGAACGAAACGCAGUGCGAGAUAGACCCGAAGCCAGAGCGAGCUUACCUUGGCCAGGAUGAACCCGCCUUAAUCGGCGGGGGAGGUCCGAACUGGUGGGUUGUGCAAAACCCUCGGAUGAGCUGAGGUAAGAAGUGAAAAGCUAAUCGAGCCUGGUAAUAGCUGGUUCUCUCCGAAAUAGCUUUCGGGCUAGCGCUCGCUAAAAAUUUUCUAGGGGUAGAGCUACUGGUUGAGGUUGACAGGGCGAAAGCUCGCUUCCUCAGUCAAACUCCGAAUACUAGAAAAUACGGCGAGUAGUUAGACUGUGGGGGCUAAGCUCCAUGGUCGCGAGGGAAAAAGCCCAGAUCGUCGUCUAAGGUCCCUAAAUUUUUGCUAAGUGUAAAAGGCAGUCAUUAACCACAGACAGGCAGGAGGUUGGCUUAGAGGUAGCCAUCCUUUAAAGAGUGUGUAACAACUCACUGCUCGAAUCGUUCGCUCCUCACUGCGUUCGUCACUCACUUUACCAAUUACGAAUACUGACACGAAUUAAGCCAAUGGCUAAUAACGUUAUUCGCCAUUCGCCUAAUUAGUUUUCAUUUGUAAUUAGUAGGUGAAGAGACGAGCAUGGCGAGGAGCGAGCGAUGGUUAGUGGCGCCGAAAAUGUACCGGGGCUAAGCAAGAUACCGAAGACACGAAUCGUUCGCUCCUCACUGCGUUCGUCACUCACUUUACCAAUUACGAAUACUGACACGAAUUAAGCCAAUGGCUAAUAACGUUACUCGCCAUUCGCCUAAUUAGUUUUCAUUUGUAAUUAGUAGGUGAAGAGACGAGCAUGGCGAGGAGCGAGCGGUGGUAGGAGAGCAUCCCAAACUGCGUUGAAGGUUACGACGCGAGUCGGACUGGAGUGUUUGGGAGGGAGAAUGUUGGCAUGAGUAACCGCAAAUUUAGUGAGAAACUAGAUCCCCGAAAAUCCAAGGUUUCCGUGGCAAUGGCAAUCAACCACGGGUUAGGCGAUCCUAAGGCAAUGGCGAGAGCCGCAGCCGAUGGACAGCCGGUUAAUAUUCCGGCCCUUCUGAAACAUUCGAUGGGGUGACGGAGGAAAUAAGAUUGAGCGCCUUAGUGGUUUGGCGUCGUCGGUCAUCAGAAAUGAUGCUCAGGAAAAUCCGGGCGUCUGCUUUUAAUGGCAAAUUUCGCGGACCGCCGUAAGGUUAAGUUUUUACUUAACUAAUUCAAUCGAAGAGCCUUCCGAGAAAAACCUCUAAGGUUAGUGUUUUAGAAAUCGUACCGUAAACCGACACAGGUGGGUGAGGCGAGAAGCCUCAGGGGAACGAGUGAUUCUUCGUUAAGGAACUCGGCAAAAAAGCGGCCGUAAGUUCGCGAUAAGGCCUGCCCAACCAAUGCUUCGCAUUGGGAAUUCCAAAUUACAAAUCCCAAAUCACAAACAAAUUUGAAAUUCCAAUUUUCAAAUUCAAAACGUUUUGAAUUUAGAAUUUUGGUUAUUAGAUAUUGUUUGUAAUUUGGCGCUUGGGAUUUGGUGCUUCCACUGCGGAGCAGUGGUUUGGGCUGCAACAAAAGUAUCUCUGGCGACUGUUUACCAAAAACACAGCUCCCUGCUAACUCGCAAGAGGAUGUAUAGGGGGUGACGCCUGACCGAUGCGAGAAGGUUAACGGUGCCGGUACUCGAUAUUGUAAAAUGUUGAGCGCUGAGUGCCCGAAGCCCUCGUCAAUGUCGGCAGUAACUAUAACUGUCCAAAGGUAGAAAUAGCGCGCUGCCUUUGUAAAAUCUGACUGUAUCGGUGAACAUCCCGCUAUGGCGGGACAAUACCGAGGCAACCCCGACGGAAUGUUGGGGGAGUCCGUAGAGACUAUACGUCAGACCGUAGUACAUAAAGCCUGAUGUGCUCGGAAGAUAUAGUCCGACCUCCGUGGCAACACGGAGAGAUAGACAGAAAUGUUCUAUCCACGUAACAAAUUUCGCGAAGUCCGCAAAAGUCAGCGGAGUCCGCGUUUGUUACGAAGUAACAUAUUUGAGCGCAAUUCCUUUUCAGGUAAGAGAACUUGCCUGAAUUCGCCGUGAGGUGAAUUAAAAAGUCGGCUUAUAACGGUGAAGUCCAUUUUGUGAUAUAAUUUACCAAUGGAUAAUACCGUGGGAAGUUUCCGCCAGUUGGCGAAUAACCCCGUAACGACUGAGUCCCGCAAAGCGGGACGAAAUGGCCCUGAUUUAUCAGGCCAUUACACGCCGACCUCUUUAUUGAGGGAAACCAGAAACAUUCCAGAAUAUAUUACUGGGUAUGUUGAUGGUGAAGGAUGUUUUACGGUUACCUUUAAUCAAAAAUUAAAGGCAAAUUUAGGAUGGGAAAUGAAACCAAGUUUUUCGGUAAGCCAGAAUGAGGACAAGCGUCAAGUUCUGGAUAUUAUUAGAGAAUAUUUUGGUUGUGGAUAUAUCCGUCGUGACUAUGCAGAUAAAACAGUAAAGUUUGAAGUGCGAGAUCACAAUGAUCUUAUGACGAAAAUUAUUCCCCAUUUUGAAAAGUUUCCUUUGCUUUCUAAAAAGCAAAAAGAUUUUGAGCUAUUCAAAAAAAUCUGCAAAAUUGUAGAUCAAAAAAUUCAUCUUACCAAAGAAGGAUUUAUUGAAAUUCUUAAUCUUGCAUACUCAAUGAAUGGUUCAGGAAAGCGGAGGAGGGCAAAAGAAACAAUCAUAAAACUACUUCAAUAAAGAUGAAGAUAUAGUCUGAUACUUAUCGUAAGAUAAGCAAACAUUUAGAAGUUCUGAAGCGCACGAAUGGCGUAACGAUCGGAGAACUGUCUCAACGAAGAGCUCGGUGAAAAUGCGAUUCCCGUGAAGACGCGGGAUACCUGCAGCAAGACGAAAAGACCCCGGGAGCUUUACUGCAACUUGAUAUUGGCUUUAAAACUUGGAUGCGUAGCGUAGUGGGUAGGGGAUGAAGUUCCGCUUUUGGGCGGGAUGGACCCGACAAUGAAACACCCAUCUUCCGAGUUUUAAAAUCUAACCUAUCCGGCAAAAACGGAUCGGGACAGUGUCUGGCGGGCAGUUUAAAUGGGGCGUUUUCCUCCAAAAAAGUAACGGAGGAGUUUAUUAAGGUUGGCUUAGUCCCGAUGGAAACGGGACUGGACGCGUAAAGGCACAAGCCAGCUUAACUGCAAGACUGACAAGUCGCGCAGAUGCGAAAGCAGAACUUAGUGACCCGACCAUUCUUUAUAGAAAGGUGGGAGACAACGGCUAAAAGUUACCCCGGGGAUGGAUCCUGAAAAAAGGAUCAGUUGUCCCGUUCCGCAGUAAUGCGGAACAAGAUUACGGCUUAUAACGGUGAACCCAAAAUUGGUCUUUCCUCGUUUUGCGAGGUUCUCGAUUUUGGCAAUACCGUGGGAAGCGAGCACAUAAAACAUUAUGCGCUUCGCCUCGUAACGACUGAAUUCUAUUUAGAUUAUUUUAAAUAGAUGAAGAUAGCAGCUUUUUUGUUGCUAUAAUACGCCGUCCCCUGUUAAAUAAUUUCGCCAAAGGCGAAAUUGCCGCAAAGCGGCAUUUAACAGGGUGAAGAUAUAGUCUAAUUGUGUUACUUCGUAACACCGCGGAACCACGCGGAAGAUUACGCGGAAUGUCGCAGAAAAUAAUUCUGCGUUAGUCUGCGUGAAGUCUGCGUAAGUCCGCGCUGUGAGCGAAGCGAACAGAUUGAACAGGCUGGUGAGGCCCGAGAGUCCCUAUCGACGGCCUCGCUCGGCACCUUAAAUGACAUUGGGGUGCCUCCACAAGUAAUUGUGGGUAAAAACAUGACUUAUAACGGUGGACUCCACAUAGUAAAAUUAUUACGUGGACAAUACCGUGGGAAGCGAGCACAUAAAGCAUUAUGUGCUUCGCCCCGUAGAGACUUCUCUUUGAUGUCAGAGAGAGAUGGCGGAUAAUUAUUCCGCCAUAAUACGUCAUCUCCAUUUUCGGAUGUCAGAUAUCUGAUAUCAGACUUCUGAAAUCUGAUUUUGGAUGAAGAUAUAGUCCAAGCUGUUAGUAAUAACAGAUUUUUGCGAUGUCGGCUCGCCCUAGCGCCCCGCUGGAGAAGGUGGGAAGCGUAUGGCUGUUCGCCAUUUAAAAGGGCACGUGAGCUGGGUGGGUUGGAAAAACCUCGAGCCCAGCAAAAGCUUUACUGGAGGUAAAAGUAGUAAAGCGAAAUAAACUGACUCAUAACGGUGGAGUCCCAAUGCAAAAAAUGAUAAAAUUAUGCAAUGGACAACAUCGUGGGAAGAUUACAAUCUUUUUUUUCGCUACAUCAAACAGUUUUACUUUAAGCACGCACUGUGAGCUAUAAGAUUGUAAAUCCCCGUAACGACUUGUCUGGCGGAAGCCGGGCAGAGUUAGAAAGCGCGACGUUAUCGCUUUCUAGCUAACACGUCAGCUUCGACAAAAGAAAAGUUGUCGGAGAAGGUAUAGUCUAAUGCCGCUCGUAAGAGCGGGAAUACAUUGUCAAACCGUCAAUUUGGCGGCUAUGCGGAGUAAUCCGCAUUAGCAAAACUGACUCAUAUCGGUGAAGUCCUAGCAUUGAAAUUAACCUGUCACAUGUUAGGAUAAUACCGAGGGAAGUUAGAAAAUAAUUAUUUAUUGCGAAAUGAAGGAAAAUUUAGAUAGUUUAUCAGAACGAGAAAAACAAGAGAGAGAAUUAAACGAGAUAACUACUGAACUGAAAUAUGCAGCCUUGGAAUAGUUGAUGCCGAGAUUGAAGACGAUUUGCUUAAAAUAGAAGAGUUGGCUAGCAAGCGACGAAAACUUAAGGAAUAUUUUCCAGAUUUUUUUGGCGAGCAAUAAUUUCUAACCCCGUAGAGACUUGUCCCGAUGGGGACGGAUGGAUAAAAAUGUCCAUAAAACGUCAGUAUACCGGAUAUCAGAUGUCAGACAUCGGCUAUCAGAUAUAAAUUCUGAAAUCCGAAAUCUGAAUUCUGAAAUCUGGUAUGUGGUAUAGUCCAUGCCCGUAGUAAUGCGGGAGAGAGUUUCGUAAAAUUUCCGCGAAGUCCGCGUUAAGUCAGCGGAGUCUGCGGUUUUGCGAAGCAAAACAUGCGUGAGACAGGUUGGUCUCUAUCUGUUGCAGGCGACGACACUUGAGGGGAGUCGACCCUAGUAAGAAAUUGCUACUUCCCGCAGUAAUGCGGGAUGACAACCUUCGACAGGCUCAGGUUAGCCUGAGCAAAGCCGAAGGCCAAUUCGGCUAAUAACGGUGGAAUCUUUAAUUUACAAAAGUGAUUCGGUCCGGAAGCUUUUGAUAAAAUGAAUUAAAGCUAAUAUCGUGGGAAGCCCCGCGAUGCGGGGCCCCGUAACGACUGACCGGAACACAUAAGAAUUUAUGUGUUCGGGAGAUAAGAACUUUAAAGUUCUUAUAAUAUGCCGACCUCCUAAUCCGUCAGCCGACGGAUGGAGGAAGAUAUAGUCUAUACCAUUAGUGAUAAUGGAUACAGUUUCGUAUUUCUGCGUAAGUCCGCGUUAAGUCAGCGGAGUCCGCGAUUUUGCGAAGCAAAAUAUGACGAGAGGACCGGGUUGAACGUACCGCUGGUGUGCCAGCUUUCCUACCAAGGGAACUGCUGGGUAGCUAUGUACGGAAGGGAUAAGCGCUGAAAGCAUCUAAGCACGAAGCCUACCCCAAGAUUAGGUGUCACGGUGCUUCGCACCGAGAUCAAAAAUUAAAAAUAAAAAACCAAAAAUAAAUGAGUCCGCCCUUGGCGAGCAAUCCUAUUUUUUUAUUUUUGAUAUUUUGUUUUUGGUUUCGAUGCGGAGCAUCGGGCGGUUCGUGGCAGACUACCACGUUGAUAGGCUCUAGGUGUAAGUACAGUAAUGUAUUUAGCCAAGGAGUACUAAUGACCG